GACGAACGCUGGCGGCGUGCUUAACACAUGCAAGUCGAACGGAAAGGCCCUGCUUGUAGUGUACUCGCGUGGCAAACGAGCGAGUAACACGUGGGUGAUCUGCCCUGCACGUCGGGCUAAGCAUGCGAGACUGGGUCGAAUACCUGCUAGGUGCGAUCGUUAGUGUGGUGGUUGGAAAGAUUUUUCGGUGUAGGAUGAGCUCGCGGGCUAUCUGCUUGGUGGUGGGGUAAUGGCCUACCAAGGAGGCGGCGGGUAGCCGGCCUGAGAGGGUGGACGGCCACCAUGGGGCCGAGAUAAGGCCCCGACUCCUACGGGGGGGAAGAGGGGGGAAUAUUGGCACAAGGGCGCGAGGCUGGUGCAGGGACGCCGGGGUGGGGAUGAAAGGCUUUCGGUUGGAAACCCCCUUCGGUAGGGAACAAACCUUUUGUGACGGUACCUAGAUAAGAAGCACCGGCUAACUACGUG
rnacentral:rRNA from 1 species